rnacentral:lncRNA from 1 species
CACAAGGACUUUCUCUCUGAUGGGUGGCCCCGGGCUGCAUCCCUGCCUCUUUCCUUGACUAGUUGGAGCCUCAGUUCCUUGGGGUGUACAAUGGGAACAAUAAUGGCCUCUUCCCACUACCUGGUGACGGCUAGCACAAUCCAGGGAGACAUUGGCUGUGAGGUCUGGGAUGAACCACCAAGCGCUCCACGUUAAUUAUUAUUAUUACCUCUGCCUGACUGACGAAAGAAGCGGGGAAGGAUGCCACAGGAUCAGACAGGCCUGUGGAGAUCAGGCUCAUGCAGAUCUCCCAGCCUGUUAAAGCCAACAGGGGCCUUGGAAACCAUCUAAGAUCCCACGAAGCAGCACAACUGGUGGAAAGAGAACUUCGGAGUCCCAAAGGCCAGAGAUGUGGAGCGCGUCACUUACACUCUCUGAAAUAUCAACAAAAAUACCUACCUGAGCAGUUACUGAGAGGAUUAAAAGGGAGUCUGCUCCUGGAGCACGGAGCACAGUACCUGGCACAGAGCGGCUGUUCACCUCAGGGAAGACUGUGCUGAAAAUCAGGGUAAGGAUCUGAUGCAAAGGAUUCCAGAGCUGCCAUAAAGAUGGAACACAGAGCCUUGGCCCUGAGACGGAAAGAGUGGGACCAUGUGUUCUGGAAUGGAGACAUUUAGGUAAAUGAACCCAAACAUCUUGAAACUCCAAAUUCCCUUCCCAAAGGAGCAGCACCUCACCUUUGCCAGAGGAGACUAGACUGUACUUGUCUGGAGGACAUGCAAUGAUCUCACUUAAAGCAGUUUCUUCACAAGAUGAUGCUUGUCCUCCAGAAGACAAGCUCACCUCCGCUAACCCUCCUUGUCUCCAGACUGAUAGCCAAAGUCAGGUCUCAACAAGCUCAGAUGGAGAAGCAGAAUCCACGUUUUA